rnacentral:rRNA from 1 species
AGAAUCAACGCUGGCGGCGUGCCUAACACAUGCAAGUCGCACGAGAAAGGGGAGCAAUCCCUGAGUACAGUGGCGCACGGGUGAGUAACACGUGAAUCAUCUACCUCCGAGUGGGGAAUAACUGAGAGAAAUCUUAGCUAAUACCGCAUAAUACCCACGGGUCAAAGCAGUAAUGCGCUUGGAGAGGAGUUCGCGGCAGAUUAGUUAGUUGGCGGGGUAAUGGCCCACCAAGACGAUGAUCUGUAUCCGGCCUGAGAGGGCGCACGGACACACUGGAACUGAAACACGGUCCAGACUCCUACGGGAGGCAGCAGUGGGGGAAUUUUGCGCAAUGGGGGAAACCCUGACGCAGCAACGCCACGUGGAGGAUGAAGCCCCGUUGGGUGUAAACUCCUUUCGAUCGGGAAGAUAAUGACGGUACCGAUAUAAGAAGCCCCGGCUAACUUCGUGCCAGCAGCCGC